GGGGAUUUAGCUCAGUGGUAGAGCGCUUGCCUAGCAAAUGCAAGGCCCUGGGUUCAGUCCCCA
rfam:Rattus norvegicus chromosome 8, whole genome shotgun sequence.